UGCCCCAUGGCUGAGUUGGUUACAGCGUCCGACUGUUACUUACGUAAUCAUCGGAAGGUCGUGAGUUCGAGCCUCACUGGGGCAG